AGAGCCUCAUCCUCCACGGGACUGACCACCUCGGCCACUGCAUCUGCCGAGAGAGGGAAACAUGUCAAUCAAUCAGUGAUGGUUACUCUGAAAUGACUGUACUGUGGUUAAAAAAUGAGAAGCUUUGAUGGGCUAGAGUUCUAAGAACGUGCCAAGUCACAGAGGAUUCCAGAACACUCCAGCUCUCAACACACAGAGCUUCUACACAACAUCUCGAGGAUAUCGCAUUCCAGAAUUGGCUCAAAUCGAGACUUUCCAACCCUGAGUUGCCUGAGAGUGUGUAGGCCAAAAACGAACAUAGCACUCUCAGACAGCCAUACUCAAAUUACAGCUCCUUGAAUGGAAAUGCUUAAGCAUAGACUAUUUGAGGGGUAACCUUGUAUACUGUGGAGGCAUCACCGGACUUCUUAAAAAGAAUGAGGCCAAAUGGUCAACACAGGAUGGCAGGUGAUCUUCAGCAACUCAUUCCAAGGGUUUUGCAACCCAUUCAACACUUAACAUUCACCCGGAACAAAAUGGAACAUUGUAACCUCUCAGAUGUACUCAAUGUACUCAAUCGCCUUGAGACGUUCACAUGUUAUGUUGCAAUAGAAAUAAAAUUGAAUUGAAUGGAAUUGCAUAUGAUUAGCUGCUAGUCAGUCGUGACCCGCUGAAAUGGAAAACCAACAGUGUAAACCUAUAAUGUUCCCUGCACACAAAUGAACACAUGUUGAAGAACAUUUCAAUUAACUAAUCACUGGGACAUAUUAUUCUUGGCUUGUUAAGAGUUGCCAUGGCCUCCCCUAAGAGGACCCCCUGUUACACAACAUCCAUAUAGACUGCAUUACAAAGGGUAAAUGUACAGAGGGGGCAAUAUAUUUAGUAGAGGGGGCAAUAUAUUUAUUUCUCUCUCUCUCUCUCUCUCUCUCUCUCUCUCUCUCUCUCUCUCUCUCUCUCUCUCUCUCUCUCUCUCUCUGCCUCUUCAUUUAAUCUGGGGGGAAGCACAAAGAGACGAGAGGCUUUAAGUGGUUCUUGGUUGCAGAGGUUGGGUUUCAGUGCGACUCCACGGAUCAGAUAAUACUCCGGGACAGCUGCCUAAUUCUCACCUUCAGGAAAACGGGGGUGAGGAACCUUUAACGCUGGGGCGACUGGCCACUGUCAACACUGCAGGGUGCACUUGUGGACCAAGCCUCGAUGAAUAGGGCUAGAAUGAGUCAGUGCUGCUAUGAGUCAUCAUACAGACGUGGGCAUGCACACACACACACACACACACACACACACACACACACACACACAAACAUAAAAUAUUAUGUGCACUGUAGGAAUAUAAUGUAAUCCAGUAGGCUACUUGCAUAAAUCUAUAGCGGGCACAAGUUAUUCAAAAUACAGUAGAAUACAAACAGAUGUGUGCACUGUAGGUACACACACACACACACACACACACACACACACACACAAAGACACACAUACACAUAUACCAUUAUAUGCACAUUACAUAUAUGCACAUGAAAACAGGGAAAUGGAAUUCAUAUAGUGGGUGCACACACACACACACACACACACACACACACACAAUGUCAUAAAUAAUCCCCUAAAACAACAUGACAAUGGAACCAAACAACUUAAAUAGUAAACUAAUGAUUAUGGCCGCACAGAUGCCAGAAGUUAUGACAUGCCGGAAAACAGCACGCUGACAGCGAGCUGGUCAUUGUUAAAUAUGGACUUCAAAAGUCACCGCAAAGUCCCGGUGCUAAGGCUAGCAUCAGUCAUGUCUGACUUUACACACAGAUCAGAGCAGAUGGGUGGGAUAAGAGCUUAGGCCACAUUAGAUUAACUUAAGGUGCUUGGCACUCCUCUCCUUGCCUGUUCUUGCCUAUUUUAGGCUGUGAUUCACCCUCAAAGCACUCAGGCUGCGUGUUGUAGUCCUUCAUCAUACAACAUCGCCUGUAGGCAAAUGGGUGUUUAUCACCUCUGAUGGUUACUACUACUGAAUGGAAAAUUGUUUUGGUGAAUGGCCAUAUAAUAUGACCAGUAAGUGGCAUUGUUGCAUCCAAUAUAUAAGUGUGCAUGAUAAAAGUUGGUCAGAUAAAGGUCAAUGAUGAAAUGUUCUGUCACAUGAUUAUGUCUGUAAGUAAUACAAAAUGUACCUUUUGCAGCUGCUGCAUACUAGCAAUAGCAUUUUGUAUGUUUGUUUGUUUGUGUGUGUUUGUGUGUGUGUGUGUGAAUAUGAAACCAAUUAUUCAUAAACAUGUAUUUGCAUGUAAAUUACUUAUAUAUAUUUCAUGUAGUGGAAAUGA